rnacentral:rRNA from 1 species
GACGAACGCUGGCGGCGUGCUUAACACAUGCAAGUCGAACGGAAAGGCCCUGCUUUUGUGGGGUGCUCGAGUGGCGAACGGGUGAGUAACACGUGAGUAACCUGCCCUUGACUUUGGGAUAACUUCAGGAAACUGGGGCUAAUACCGGAUAGGAGCUCCUGCUGCAUGGUGGGGGUUGGAAAGUUUCGGCGGUUGGGGAUGGACUCGCGGCUUAUCAGCUUGUUGGUUGGGUAGUGGCUUACCAAGGCUUUGACGGGUAGCCGGCCUGAGAGGGUGACCGGCCACAUUGGGACUGAGAUACGGCCCAGACGCCUACGGGAGGCAGCAGUGGGGAAUAUUGCACAAUGGGCGGAAGCCUGAUGCAGCAACGCCGCGUGCGGGAUGACGGCCUUCGGGUUGUAAACCGCUUUCGGCUGUGACGAAGCGUGAGUGACGGUAAUGGGUAAAGAAGCACCGGCUAACUACGUG